UACCAGCACCCCGAGCGGUCGGGACGAUUAUUGGGCCUAAAGCAUCCGUAGCCGGUUCUGCAAGUCCCCCGUUAAAUCCAGCUGCUCAACAGAUGGGCCGCGGAGGAUACUACAGAGCUAGGAGGCAGGAGAGGCAAGCGGUACUCAGUGGGUAGGGGUAAAAUCCGUUGAUCCAUUGAAGACCACCAGUGGCGAAGGCGGCUUGCCAGAAUGCGCUCGACGGUGAGGGAUGAAAGCUGGGGGAGCAAACCGG
rnacentral:rRNA from 1 species